rnacentral:piRNA from 1 species
UGCCUGUGCUGAGAAAGGCGUUUGCUGGC